UUAGAGUUUGAUCCUGGCUCAGAACGAACGCUGGCGGCGUGGAUAAGACAUGCAAGUCGAACGAGAGAAUUGCUAGCUUGCUAAUAAUUCUCUAGUGGCGCACGGGUGAGUAACACGUGAGUAACCUGCCCCCGAGAGCGGGAUAGCCCUGGGAAACUGGGAUUAAUACCGCAUAGUAUCGAAAGAUUAAAGCAGCAAUGCGCUUGGGGAUGGGCUCGCGGCCUAUUAGUUAGUUGGUGAGGUAACGGCUCACCAAGGCGAUGACGGGUAGCCGGUCUGAGAGGAUGUCCGGCCACACUGGAACUGAGACACGGUCCAGACACCUACGGGUGGCAGCAGUCGAGAAUCAUUCACAAUGGGGGAAACCCUGAUGGUGUGACGCCGCGUGGGGGAAUGAAGGUCUUCGGAUUGUAAACCCCUGUCAUGUGGGAGCAAAUUAAAAAGAUAGUACCACAAGAGGAAGAGACGGCUAACUCUGUGCCAGCAGCCGCGGUAAUACAGAGGUCUCAAGCGUUGUUCGGAAUCACUGGGCGUAAAGCGUGCGUAGGCUGUUUCGUAAGUCGUGUGUGAAAGGCGCGGGCUCAACCCGCGGACGGCACAUGAUACUGCGAGACUAGAGUAAUGGAGGGGGAACCGGAAUUCUCGGUGUAGCAGUGAAAUGCGUAGAUAUCGAGAGGAACACUCGUGGCGAAGGCGGGUUCCUGGACAUUAACUGACGCUGAGGCACGAAGGCCAGGGGAGCGAAAGGGAUUAGAUACCCCUGUAGUCCUGGCAGUAAACGGUGCACGCUUGGUGUGCGGGGAAUCGACCCCCUGCGUGCCGGAGCUAACGCGUUAAGCGUGCCGCCUGGGGAGUACGGUCGCAAGAUUAAAACUCAAAGAAAUUGACGGGGACCCGCACAAGCGGUGGAGUAUGUGGCUUAAUUCGAUGCAACGCGAAGAACCUUACCUGGGCUUGACAUGUAAUGAACAACAUGUGAAAGCAUGCGACUCUUCGGAGGCGUUACACAGGUGCUGCAUGGCCGUCGUCAGCUCGUGUCGUGAGAUGUUUGGUUAAGUCCAGCAACGAGCGCAACCCCUGUUGCCAGUUACCAGCACGUGAAGGUGGGGACUCUGGCGAGACUGCCCAGAUCAACUGGGAGGAAGGUGGGGACGACGUCAGGUCAGUAUGGCCCUUAUGCCCAGGGCUGCACACGUACUACAAUGCCCAGUACAGAGGGGGCCGAAGCCGCGAGGCGGAGGAAAUCCUGAAAACUGGGCCCAGUUCGGACUGUAGGCUGCAACCCGCCUACACGAAGCCGGAAUCGCUAGUAAUGGCGCAUCAGCUACGGCGCCGUGAAUACGUUCCCGGGUCUUGUACUCACCGCCCGUCA
rnacentral:rRNA from 1 species